UAUACAUGGAAAAGCAUGCGUAUUCUUUGGUUGUUGGGUCAUGUGUUCCAUAUGUCUCCUGCAGAUUAAACUUGUUCAAAUAUUCUACAUCCUUAUUGAUUUUCUGUCUACUGAGAGAGGAGGAUGCGGCUGUUGUCUGACUUUGACAUUUACUGUUGAUUAAGGGCUCAGAUUGUGUGAAGUUCCAUGUCACACUGCAGGUGUCCAGUGGAGAUGCAAAUGAUUCCUGUCCAGUGAGAGGAAAGAAUCAGGAUUCAUUGCUCUGUAGGACAUUAACUGGAUAUGUCUCAAACAUUAAAAAUCUAUUUUAGUGUGUCUUUCCCAAUGGACUAUAUAAAUCCCAGUACUUCAAAUGCCAUUUGAAUCAGCAUUUCCGACUUUCUGGCUCCCUCCUUAAUUGAUGAGCUGAAUAAAAUUGUGGGUGUCUGUUCAUUCUA